AGAAUCAACGCUGGCGGCGUGCCUAACACAUGCAAGUCGAACGAGAAAGCUUGGGUGUAGCAAUACAUUCGGGUGAGUAAAGUGGCGAACGGGUGAGUAACACGUAGCUAACCUGCCCUUGAGUGGGGGAUAACCUGGGGAAACUCGGGCUAAUACCGCAUGACAUUCCGGCUUCACAAGGAGUUGGAAUCAAAGGCCCGCAAGGGUCACUCGGGGAGGGGCUGCGGCCGAUUAGCUAGUUGGCGGGGUAAUGGCCCACCAAGGCGAUGAUC
rnacentral:rRNA from 1 species